rnacentral:lncRNA from 1 species
CUGAUUUCCAAUACAAUCAUUUUUGCACAAAGUACAUAGUCUUUCCUCUUUUGGAAUAUUAUGCCAUCGACCAGUUUCUAGUGGAAUUUUGAUAUUUGAGCAUCUAAGUUUGGUAAUAUAUAUUCUAUUUUCUUUUUUUAAUCUUACCAAAUAAUUUUCUAAACAAAAAGCGUGUUUAAACAGUAAAUAAUAUCCACCUCUAGAAGAGUUUUCAGCAUCACUAAACCACUUUUGAAUAAACUGAUCUUGUAAAAUUUGCUUAACAUAUAUUUUGAUGUCAACAUUUCUUAAAAUACAUUG